rnacentral:misc_RNA from 1 species
CAUCUUCACACACUACAUCU